AUGAACGCUGGCGGCGUGCCUAAUACAUGCAAGUCGAGCGAACGGACGAGAAGCUUGCUUCUCUGAUGUUAGCGGCGGACGGGUGAGUAACACGUGGAUAACCUACCUAUAAGACUGGGAUAACUUCGGGAAACCGUAGCUAAUACCGGAUAAUAUUUUGAACCGCAUGGUUCAAAAGUUAAAGACGGUCUUGCUGUCACUUAUAGAUGGAUCCGCGCUGCAUUAGCUAGUUGGUAAGGUAACGGCUUACCAAGGCAACGAUGCAUAGCCGACCUGAGAGGGUGAUCGGCCACACUGGAACUGAGACACGGUCCAGACUCCUACGGGAGGCAGCAGUAGGGAAUCUUCCGCAAUGGGCGAAAGCCUGACGGAGCAACGCCGCGUGAGUGAUGAAGGUCUUCGGAUCGUAAAACUCUGUUAUUAGGGAAGAACAUAUGUGUAAGUAACUGUGCACAUCUUGACGGUACCUAAUCAGAAAGCCACGGCUAACUACGUG
rnacentral:rRNA from 1 species